CAGUAACGGCGAGUGAAGCGGCAACAGCUCAAAUUUGAAAUCUGGCUCCUUUCGGGGUCCGAAUUGUAAUUUGUAGAGAGUGCUUCGGGCGAGACCUCGGUCUAAGUCCAUUGGAACAUGGUGUCAUAGAGGGUGAGAAUCCCGUAUGCGACCGUGGCUCGAGCCCAUGUGAAGCCUCUUCGACGAGUCGAGUUGUUUGGGAAUGCAGCUCAAAACGGGUGGUAAAUUUCAUCUAAAGCUAAAUACUGGCUGGAGACCGAUAGCGCACAAGUAGAGUGAUCGAAAGAUGAAAAGCACUUUGGAAAGAGAGUCAAACAGUACGUGAAAUUGUUGAAAGGGAAGCGCUUGCAACCAGACCUGCCCGUAGGCGAUCAGCCGCUGUUCUCAGCGGUGCACUCGCUCUGCGAUCAGGCCAGCAUCGGUUUCGGCGGUCGGAUAAAGGCCUUGGGAAUGUAGCUUCCCUUCGGGGGAGUCUUAUAGCCCUCGGUGCAAUGCGGCCAGCCGGGACCGAGGACCGCGCUUCGGCUAGGAUGCUGGCGUAAUGGUUGUAAGCGACCCGUCUUGAAACACGGACCAAGGAGUCUAACAUCUAUGCGAGUGUUUGGGUGUCAAACCCAUACGCGGAAUGAAAGUGAACGGAGGUGAGAACCCUUAAGGGCGCAUCAUCGACCGAUCCAGAUGUCUUCGGAUGGAUUUGAGUAUGAGCAUAGCUGUUGGGACCCGAAAGAUGGUGAACUAUGCCUGAAUAGGGUGAAGCCAGAGGAAACUCUGGUGGAGGCUCGCAGCGGUUCUGACGUGCAAAUCGAUCGUCAAAUUAGGGUAUAGGGGCGAAAGACUAAUC
rnacentral:rRNA from 1 species